rnacentral:rRNA from 1 species
GACGUAGGGCGCGAGCGUUGUCCGGAUUUAUUGGGCGUAAAGAGCGUGUAGGCGCCAGGUAGGUCUGCUGUGAAAACUCGAGGCUUAACCUCGAGCUGUCGGCGGAAACCAUCUGGCUAGAGUCCGGAAGAGGAGAAUGGAAUUCCCGGUGUAGCGGUGAAAUGCGCAGAUAUCGGGAAGAACACCCGUGGCGAAGGCGGUUCUCUGGGACGGUACUGACGCUGAGACGCGAAAGCGUGGGGAGCGAACAGG